ensembl:lncRNA
CAGCAUCCAAGGUCAGACCAGUUCUGUUAGGCCUUGCCAUCUGCUCACUCUGGUGGGGAGCUGGGGGUAAAGAGAUAAAUAAGCCAGGAAGGACAAAUAUCAGGCGCAGUGGUCUCCGCUCCCGUUACGCCUCCACAUUUCCAGGCAUUGACUGCACACUUCAAAGGACCUCCGCAGGGAGGAAAUGAGCUUCUCCCUCCGUGCCCUCCACACUCAGCCGAGAUGACCAGCUGACCGAGUGACCGGCAGGCUGAUGAAUCAACCCACUCGCAUACUGGCAGAAGAGCGUGGAAAGGAAAAGAGAUCUGGUGAGGGACCAGCUAAGCAACCGCUGACCAGCACAGUAGAAAGGGCCUGACCCAGGGCUCCACAUGGUGAGGACUGCUCUCCAAAGGAAGGCCAGAGACAGUAAGAGGGGAGUGUGUGUGCGCACACACGUGCGGUCAGGCACUCAUUCAUGCCUGACUCUUUACAACCCCAUGGACUAUAGCCCGCCAGGCUCCUCUGUCCAUGGGACUGUCCAGGCAAGAAUACUGGGUUGGGUUGCCAUCUUCUUCUCCAGGGGAUCUUCCCGACCCAGGGAUCGAACCCACAUCCCUGUGUCUCCUGUAUUGGCAGGUGGAUUCUUACCAAUGCGCCACCUGGGAAGCCCAGGGAGAUGCGAAAAAAAGACAGAAAACUGAAAUGCCCACUACUCAGUGAGGACUCUGAGUAGUGAUUAGGUUGGAGGUAGCCCAACGUGGUUGACGUCUAGAGUUGCGUAAAGAGACUUGGAGACUUCAACCCAAGAUCAAGCUGUGGUUUUGCUAUUUAGGUAUCUCUUGUGAUGACUGAGUCAGAUAAGCAAAUGAGUAAGUAAGUUCAGUCCUGGCCUCUCUGAAACAUCAUUCUGACCCUCCUUGUAUAUUCCCAUCAGGAACUCAGCAGACCCACGCGUUCUCCUAUAGGUGUAGACGUGAGGACAUAAAAUGCAGUCACGACGCUGUUCUGGUCAUAGGAUUAUGAAUGAUUAUUUUUCCUUUCAUUUUCUAAUUGUAUCCUGUAGUGGGGCUGUAUUAUUUUGCAAUGGAAAAAUCACAUUUAUAGUUUUAAAAGAAAAAAUAAAACAAAUUUAGUCCCUUCCUCUCUCUUGCUCCAUACCCAAUAAAUAUUUCUUGAUUUAUG